UACAGAGGGUGCAAGCGUUAAUCGGAAUUACUGGGCGUAAAGCGCGCGUAGGUGGUUUGUUAAGUUGGAUGUGAAAGCCCCGGGCUCAACCUGGGAACUGCAUUCAAAACUGACAAGCUAGAGUAUGGUAGAGGGUGGUGGAAUUUCCUGUGUAGCGGUGAAAUGCGUAGAUAUAGGAAGGAACACCGGUGGCGAAGGCGGCUCUCUGGACCGAUACUGACGCUGAGGCGCGAAAGCGUGGGGAGCAAACAGG
rnacentral:rRNA from 1 species